rnacentral:rRNA from 1 species
CAUCGCCACGGGAAUACGAAGGGGGCUAGCGUUGCUCGGAAUUACUGGGCGUAAAGGGAGCGUAGGCGGGUCGUUUAGUCAGAGGUGAAAUCCCGGGGCUCAACCUCGGAACUGCCUUUGAUACUGGCGACCUUGAGUAUGGGAGAGGUGAGUGGAACUCCGAGUGUAGAGGUGAAAUUCGUAGAUAUUCGGAAGAACACCAGUGGCGAAAGCGACUCACUGGCCCAUUACUGACGCUGAGGCUCGAAAGCGUGGGGAGCAAACAGGAUUAGAUACCCGCGUAGUCCCUGUCUCUUAUACA